GGAGUUCACCGUAUGAAAUACUCGUAACAUACGUAGUCAAACGAGCGCAAGGCGGAGUAAUCCGUCCAGGCGAAGCCUCGUGCGACAAAGAUGCAAGCCAUAGCGCAAGCGAACCCGAAUCGGCCUCGUUACACAAAUGAGAGCGGUCAACCUGCCGAAGGUGGCGAAACCAGCACUGAUGACGAAGAAACGAGAGCAAGCAGUCGUCAGGCUCUCCGGGGUGAA
rfam:Anaerolineae bacterium CG1_02_58_13 cg1_0.2_scaffold_17037_c, whole genome shotgun sequence.